rnacentral:SRP_RNA from 1 species
GCCAGGCGUGGUGGUGCAUGCCUAUAAUCCUAGCUACUUGGGAGGCUGAGUUGGGAGGAUUGCUUGAACCCAGGAGGUGGAGGUUGCAGUGAGCCAAGGUCACGCCACUGCACACUCCAGCCUGGGCAACAGAGCGAGACUCCGUCUCAA